rnacentral:tRNA from 4 species
CGGGAAGUAGCUCAGCUUGGUAGAGCACUUGGUUUGGGACCAAGGGGUCGCAGGUUCGAAUCCUGUCUUCCCG